ACUCCUACGGGAGGCAGCAGUGGGGAAUAUUGCACAAUGGGCGCAAGCCUGAUGCAGCCAUGCCGCGUGUAUGAAGAAGGCCUUCGGGUUGUAAAGUACUUUCAGCGGGGAGGAAGGUGAUAAGGUUAAUAACCUUGUCGAUUGACGUUACCCGCAGAAGAAGCACCGGCUAACUCCGUGCCAGCAGCCGCGGUAAU
rnacentral:rRNA from 1 species